GAUGAACGCUGGUGGCGUGCCUAAUACAUGCAAGUCGAGCGAACAGACGAGGAGCUUGCUCCUCUGACGUUAGCGGCGGACGGGUGAGUAACACGUGGAUAACCUACCUAUAAGACUGGGAUAACUUCGGGAAACCGGAGCUAAUACCGGAUAAUAUAUUGAACCGCAUGGUUCAAUAGUGAAAGACGGUUUUGCUGUCACUUAUAGAUGGAUCCGCGCCGCAUUAGCUAGUUGGUAAGGUAACGGCUUACCAAGGCAACGAUGCGUAGCCGACCUGAGAGGGUGACCGCCCACAGUGGAACUGAGACACGGCCCAGACUCCGACGGGAGGCAGAAGUAGGGAAUCUUCCGAAAGGGGCGAAAGCCGGAGGGAGCACCGCCGCGUGAGUGAUGAAGGUCUUCGGAUCGUAAAACUCUUUUAUUAGGGAAAAAAAAAUGUUUAAGUACCUAUGCACGUCUGGACGGUACCUAAUCAGAAACCCACGCCAAACUCGGUC
rnacentral:rRNA from 1 species